CACACACAGGCACUUCCUACAGGAGCAGCUUCCAAGCCGAGUUCCUGGCGGGCACUGUCCCCCAACAGCAAGCUGGAACAAAGGCCGCAUGACUGAGUGCGCCCGUGCCUGUCAGGGCGCGGGGAAGAAAUCAGAGCUCCACAGCCAGCCUAGCUUGGAGGGAAAGGCAAGCUGAGGCCUUGCUCCUGUAACUGCCAAACUGUCCCCCCUCACGGCGGCCUGCCUUUUCCCAUGCUGGCCCGGGGUCUUCGUCCUGUUGGCCUGGAUUCAAAAGGGCAGUACAAGAAGUGGAAUCCUAAGAAUGGUCUCCCUGAGCUCCAGCCUAUGGAAUGAAACCAUGACAUCUGUUUAUCAGUACCUUGGUUUUCAAGUUCAAAAAUUUACCCUGUGCAUGAUAACUGGGACACUACCUGCUUUGUCAUUCUGCUUUUAUUUAUGUUUACAGUAGUAUCGUUAGUGGUGCUGGCUUUCCUUUAUGAAGUGCUUGCCUGCUGCUGAAUUUUGUUUAGAGCAAGAUGAUCCUCCAUGUUCUAGCUUUGCUUUCUUCUUCUUCGAUGGUGAUGAUGUUGACGCCUCUGAAGAUACUGAACGCUUUUCUACUACAGGAGUGGAAAGAGCUCGUUUUCCAAACAGCUCCCCUUCUCUCAAAAGGCUUGGAUUCAUAAUGUUUAUGCCAGCGGUUGGACGCUGUGCGGUCUCCACUUUCGGUCCUCGGGUAUCAGGGUUCUCUCCUGCGAGUCUUCCGUAGAUUAUUCAAGGAGUUUUUCUGUAUUUUAGUUGUAAUUCCAGUUUGUUCUUGGGAGCAUGUCCGUGCAACAUCCACUUACUCUGCCGCCACUUUUAAUCUUCCUGUGCUUCAUUUUGGAUAGUCCCUAGGACUGUAUCACCAAGUUCACUAAUGUUUUCUUUUUCAGGGUCUAAGCUGAUGUUAAUCACAUUCAGUGCUCUUUAAAAAUAUUCCGCAUUAUAUUUUUCAUCUCUAUAAGUUAGACUUGGAUCUUUUUUAUAUCUUCCAUGCCUGUACUUAACAUGCUCAAUCUUUCUUUUACUUUCUUGAACAUAUAACAUUUUUUUUAUGUCUUUGUCUAUUAAUGUCCUUGUUGUAACAUCUGUGUCAUUUCUGGGUUUGCUUCCAUUGAUGGAUUGAUCGGUUUUCCUUGUUAUGGGUCAUAUUUUGCUGAUUAUUUGCUUGCCUGAUGAUUUUGGACUGAAUGGCAAACAUUGUGAAUUUUACCUUGGGUGCUGGGUAUUUUUGUAUUUCUAUAAAUACGUUUGAGCUAUGUUCUGGGACACAGUAAAGUUACGUGGAAACAG